rnacentral:tRNA from 1 species
AUUAUUGUGGCAGAAAAUUGCCAUAGGUUUAAACCCUAUUCAUAAGUCUUUACUUCUUUAAUAAUU